rnacentral:rRNA from 1 species
GACGAACGCUGGCGGCAUGCCUAAUACAUGCAAGUCGAACGAUGAAUCUCUCUGCUUGCAGAGAGAGGAAGAGUGGCGAACGGGUGAGUAACACGUGAGGAACUUGCCCAUAAGAGGGGGAUAACAUCCGGAAACGGGUGCUAAUACCGCAUACGUAACACAUUCGCAUGAACGUGUUAUUAAAGGUGGCUCUGCUACCGCUUAUGGAUAGCCUCGCGGUGCAUUAGCUAGUUGGUGGGGUAACGGCCUACCAAGGCGAUGAUGCAUAGCCGACUUGAGAGGGUGAUCGGCCACACUGGGACUGAGACACGGCCCAGACUCCUACGGGAGGCAGCAGUAGGGAAUCUUCCACAAUGGGUGCAAACCUGAUGGAGCAAUGCCGCGUGAGUGAAGAAGGACUUCGGUUCGUAAAGCUCUGUUGUUAGAGAAGAACAAGGAUAGGAGUAACUGUCUAUCCCUUGACGGUACCUAACCAGAAAGUCACGGCUAACUACGUGCCAGCAGCCGCGGUAAUACGUAGGUGACAAGCGUUGUCCGGAUUUAUUGGGCGUAAAGCGAGCGCAGGCGGUUCUUUAAGUCUGAUGUGAAAGCCCACGGCUCAACCGUGGAAUCGCAUUGGAAACUGGAGAACUUGAAUAUAGAAGAGGAAAGUGGAAUUCCAAGUGUAGCGGUGGAAUGCGCAGAUAUCAGGAGGAACACCAGUGGCGAAGGCAGGUCUCUGGGCAGUAACUGACGCUGAGGAGCGAAAGCAUGGGGAGCGAACAGGAUUAGAUACCCUGGUAGUCCAUGCCGUAAACGGUGGGCGCUAGGUGUGAGUCCCUUCCACGGGGUUCGUGCCGUAGCUAACGCAUUAAGCGCCCCGCCUGGGGAGUACGGCCGCAAGGCUAAAACUCAAAGGAAUUGACGGGGGCCCGCACAAGCGGCGGAGCAUGUGGAUUAAUUCGAUGCAACGCGAAGAACCUUACCUGGGCUUGACAUACACCGGAUCGGGCUAGAGAUAGUCUUUCCCUUUGUGGCUGGUGUACAGGUGGUGCAUGGUUGUCGUCAGCUCGUGUCGUGAGAUGUUGGGUUAAGUCCCGCAACGAGCGCAACCCUUGUCUUGUGUUGCCAGCGGUUUGGCCGGGGACUCAUGAGAGACUGCCGGGGUUAACUCGGAGGAAGGUGGGGAUGACGUCAAAUCAUCAUGCCCCUUAUGUCCAGGGCUUCACACAUGCUACAAUGGUCGGUACAACGCGCAGCGAGCCUGUGAGGGUGAGCGAAUCGCUCUAAAGCCGGCCUUAGUUCGGAUUGGGGUCUGCAACUCGACCUCAUGAAGUCGGAGUCGCUAGUAAUCGUAGAUCAGCAACGCUGCGGUGAAUACGUUCCCGGGCCU